UACGGGGGGGGCAAGCGUUGUUCGGAAUUACUGGGCGUAAAGGGCUCGUAGGCGGCCAACUAAGUCCGACGUGAAAUCCCCAGGCUUAACCUGGGAACUGCGUCGGAUACUGGAUGGCUUGAAUUCGGGAGAGGGAUGCAGAAUUCCAGGUGUAGCGGUGAAAUGCGUAGAUAUCUGGAGGAACACCGGUGGCGAAGGCGGCAUCCUGGACCGGUAUUGACGCUGAGGCGCGAAAGCCAGGGGAGCAAACGGG
rnacentral:rRNA from 1 species